rnacentral:rRNA from 1 species
CUACGUGCCAGCAGCCGCGGUAAUACGUAGGUGGCAAGCGUUGUCCGGAAUUAUUGGGCGUAAAGCGCGCGCAGGCGGAUCAGUUAGUCUGUCUUAAAAGUUCGGGGCUUAACCCCGUGAUGGGAUGGAAACUGCUGAUCUAGAGUAUCGGAGAGGAAAGUGGAAUUCCUAGUGUAGCGGUGAAAUGCGUAGAUAUUAGGAAGAACACCAGUGGCGAAGGCGACUUUCUGGACGAAAACUGACGCUGAGGCGCGAAAGCCAGGGGAGCGAACGGGAUUAGAUACCCCGGUAGUCCUGGCCGUAAACGAUGGGUACUAGGUGUAGGAGGUAUCGACCCCUUCUGUGCCGGAGUUAACGCAAUAAGUACCCCGCCUGGGGAGUACGACCGCAAGGUUGAAACUCAAAGGAAUUGACGGGGGCCCGCACAAGCGGUGGAGUAUGUGGUUUAAUUCGACGCAACGCGAAGAACCUUACCAGGUCUU